UACGUAGGGUGCAAGCGUUGUCCGGAAUUAUUGGGCGUAAAGAGCUCGUAGGCGGUCUGUUGCGUCGGCUGUGAAAACCCGGGGCUCAACUCCGGGCCUGCAGCCGAUACGGGCAGACUAGAGUUCGGCAGGGGAGACUGGAAUUCCUGGUGUAGCGGUGGAAUGCGCAGAUAUCAGGAGGAACACCGGUGGCGAAGGCGGGUCUCUGGGCAGUAACUGACGCUGAGGAGCGAAAGCGUGGGGAGCGAACAGG
rnacentral:rRNA from 1 species